rnacentral:rRNA from 1 species
GAUGAACGCUAGCGGCAGGCUUAAUACAUGCAAGUCGAGGGGCAGCAGGACUGUAGCAAUACAGUUGCUGGCGACCGGCAAACGGGUGCGGAACACGUACACAACUUUCCUUUAAGUGGGGAAGUAGCCCGGGGAAACCCGGAUUAAUACCCGUAACAUUAUGAAGUGGCAUCAUUUAUAAUUAUAGCUCAGGCGCUUAAAGA